rnacentral:rRNA from 1 species
ACAGCAGCCGCCGCGGUAAUACGUAGGUGGCAAGCGUUGUCCGGAAUUAUUGGGCGUAAAGGGCUCGCAGGCGGUUUCUUAAGUCUGAUGUGAAAGCCCCCGGCUCAACCGGGGAGGGUCAUUGGAAACUGGGAAACUUGAGUGCAGAGGAGGAGAGUGGAAUUCCACGUGUAGCGGUAAAAUGCGUAGAGAUGUGGAGGAACACCAGUGACGAAGGCGACUCUCUGGUCUGUAACUGACGCUGAGGAGCGAAAGCGUGGGGAGCGAACAGGAUUAGAUACCCCCGUAGUCCCUGUCUCUUAUAC